GUGUUACUUUGUAACAGUCAAACGUGGUUAUUCCUGGCGUUGAUCAACUCCCCAUCCAUGCCACCAUUUAUUUAAAGCAUUAUAUUUUUUAUGGAAAACAAAAAGCAUACAGAGCUCAUUUUGGUGUAACCAUAAUCGAAUUUGACGUGUCGGAGAACGGCGACUUCGUCCCGAAAUCAUUGCAGGUAUCGCUUCUCGGCCUUUUGGCUAAGAUCAAGUGUACUGCGCAUGAUCAGAGAAGCGAUCAGCAGGCCGGAGGGCGCCGGGAGACUGUGCUAUUCACUUUGUUAAAAGUCAUUUCUGUUGUUUUGUUUCAUUAUUGUUUUCUGUCCUGGGUUAGGUGGUGGUUCUGGUGGUGGACUACAGGUGCACCAGCACCUGUAGGGAAAUGGGAGGAUAAGUGGCAGCAUGGGCCCUCCAUUUGGAGUGGUUCCAAUUUUAACAAGAACGACGGUGUUGCUAUUUUAAUCAAGACCCCACAGGUGGUGGUGAAGGGGAGCACGGUGGUGGUAGGAUCGGGAACCAGUAUGUCCAGUGCGCGGGCUCGCGAUAGGUGAGCCCACAACGGUUUGGCGCAACGUGGCCCACCCUGCUCUCUUGAAUCGGCAUCGGGACCUGUCCUGGAUGGUCGCCCACGAGAUCCUCCCGGUCAGGGCCGUUAUGCACUCACGGGGCAUGGCGAGGAUAUCCGCGUGCCCCCGACCAGGCUGCGGCCAAGAAGAGUCGGUGAGGCACAUGCUCUGGGAGUGCAGAGCCGCCAGGGACCUGUGGAAGGAAGCAGGCCCCUGAUCACCUCGUGUCUGCCAGCAGGGGAGGACCUAACACCUCAGCUCGUGCUGUAUGGGGUGGGCCGAAGGCCCAUUCCAUCGAAGACCUUCACCAAGCUCUGGUCCACCCUCACGUGCCUGAAGGAAGCACUGUGGUCCUCCCGUAACCUGCUGGUAGCGAAAAACGUAGAGACCAACCCCCAGGCAGUGGCCAUGGUAGCCAUGGAAGCCCUGGGGUGGUACGGAAGAAGGGGGGCCUCGACCCCAAGCGAAGGGUCCCCCACAACACCCUAGGUCCCGGCGGCCACGGCCUGACAGCGCUGCGGUGCCUAGGGCGAUGCGCCUAGGGGAGGGAUCCCCUCUGGGCCCCGAAGGACGGGACGAUGAUCCAUUCAGAAGAGCAGGAUGAGGUGAGCUUGAUAAAGACUCACCCCGCUCCUGUAUAAGGGACUGAAGACAGCCUUUUUAACAAAGUGGCUUUUUAACAUGUUUUUCAUGUCUUAAAAAUGUUUUACCUUUGUUAGAUCAUUUGUACACAUUUUAAAUGGCUUUCACAGAUUUGAUGUUUUUACAAGGAAAGUACUUUUAUUCAUAGUUGUUUUCAUUGGUUUUAACAACAUGUACUUUUUAACAAAUUUAAAUGUAACCUUCAAAUGCGGUGUUUUAUGCUUUGUUGCCGUUUUUAUGUGUAUAAAUUAUGUAAAAAAUGUAUGAGCUGUUUUUAAAGGAAUUGUGUUAAUAAAACUUUUCCAAAAGAAAAGAAAAAUCUGUUCUUAUCAGUUUAAUAUCUGAUACGUCCCCUAUCUGGGGACCAUAUAUUAAAUUGAUUUUUGGAAUAGGGAGAUGGAAUAGGGGCUUGCUCCGUCCACUCCACGCAUCGACCUGGUAUUGCAGUGCCUCCAGGAACGGUGCACC